rnacentral:rRNA from 1 species
AGAGUUUGAUCCUGGCUCAGAUUGAACGCUGGCGGCAUGCCUUACACAUGCAAGUCGAACGGCAGCACGGGGGCAACCCUGGUGGCGAGUGGCGAACGGGUGAGUAAUACAUCGGAACGUGUCCUCUUGUGGGGGAUAACCAGUCGAAAGAUUGGCUAAUACCGCAUGAGAUCGCAAGAUGAAAGCGGGGGACCGCAAGGCCUCGCGCGAGAGGAGCGGCCGAUGUCGGAUUAGCUAGUUGGUGGGGUAAAAGCCUACCAAGGCGACGAUCCGUAGCUGGUCUGAGAGGACGACCAGCCACACUGGGACUGAGACACGGCCCAGACUCCUACGGGAGGCAGCAGUGGGGAAUUUUGGACAAUGGGCGCAAGCCUGAUCCAGCCAUGCCGCGUGUGUGAAGAAGGCCUUCGGGUUGUAAAGCACUUUCGGACGGAACGAAAUCGCGCGGUUGAAUAUUCCGCGUGGAUGACGGUACCGUAAGAAGAG